UACGAAGGGGGGCUAGCGUUGCUCGGAAUCACUGGGCGUAAAGCGCACGUAGGCGGACUCUUAAGUCAGGGGUGAAAUCCUGGAGCUCAACUCCAGAACUGCCUUUGAUACUGGGGAUCUUGAGUCCGGGAGAGGUGAGUGGAACUGCGAGUGUAGAGGUGAAAUUCGUAGAUAUUCGCAAGAACACCAGUGGCGAAGGCGGCUCACUGGCCCGGUACUGACGCUGAGGUGCGAAAGCGUGGGGAGCAAACAGG
rnacentral:rRNA from 1 species